UACGGAGGGUGCGAGCGUUGUCCGGAAUCACUGGGCGUAAAGGGCGCGUAGGCGGCGCGGAUAGUCGGCGGUGAAAGCCCGGAGCUCAACUCCGGGUCGGCCGUCGAUACUUCCGGGCUUGAGCACUGUAGAGGCAGAUGGAAUUCCGGGUGUAGCGGUGGAAUGCGUAGAGAUCCGGAGGAAGACCGGUGGCGAAGGCGGUCUGCUGGGCAGUUUCUGACACUGAGGCGCGACGAGCGUGGGGAGCAAACAGG
rnacentral:rRNA from 1 species